UACGAAGGGGGCUAGCGUUGCUCGGAAUCACUGGGCGUAAAGCGCACGUAGGCGGACUCUUAAGUCGGUGGUGAAAUCCUGGAGCUCAACUCCAGAACUGCCUUCGAUACUGGGAGUCUCGAGUCCGGGAGAGGUGAGUGGAACUGCGAGUGUAGAGGUGAAAUUCGUAGAUAUUCGCAAGAACACCAGUGGCGAAGGCGGCUCUCUGGCCCGGUACUGACGCUGAGGUGCGAAAGCGUGGGGAGCAAACAGG
rnacentral:rRNA from 1 species